GAUGAAGAACGCAGCGAAAUGCGAUAAGUAGUGUGAAUUGCAGAAUUCAGUGAAUCAUCGAAUCUUUGAACGCACAUUGCGCCUCCUGGUAUUCCGGGAGGCAUGCCUGUUCGAGCGUCAUCAAAAACCUCAACCCAUGAUUUAUUGUGAGUUGGUUCUGCAUUGGACUCCUUGUGGGUCCUUGCGAAAUCCAAUGGCGAAGAGCCACGCAACCAAAGCGUAGUAUAACUAUUUCGUUAUGGAAGCGUGGGUGCCUCUGCCGUAACCCCCAAUUUCUUAGUUUUUGACCUCGGAUCAGGUAGGGAUACCCGCUGAACUUAAGCAUAUCAAUAAGCGGAGGA
rnacentral:misc_RNA from 1 species